rnacentral:rRNA from 1 species
UACGUAGGGUGCAAGCGUUGUCCGGAAUUAUUGGGCGUAAAGAGCUCGUAGGCGGUUUGUCGCGUCUGCCGUGAAAGUCCGGGGCUCAACUCCGGAUCUGCGGUGGGUACGGGCAGACUAGAGUGAUGUAGGGGAGACUGGAAUUCCGGGUGUAGUGGUGGAAUGCGUAGAGAUCCGGAGGAACACCAGCGGCGAAGGCGGCAUCCUGGACUGGUCCUGACACUCAGGAGCGAAAGCGUGGGGAGCGAGUCCGG